UGAAAAAUUAAACAAUUAAUUUUCCAAAGGAGAAAAUUAGAAUGUUAUUAGGAAGAAUAGGUAGGAGCAAAAUCGUGAGACUAUUCCAGGAAACUUUGAGGGCGCGUAGCGAAAGAGAGGCAGUUAUCCUCACUCGCAGGACCCAAUCUCAGCCCAGAAAAUGGCGCUUCGUCACAUGCCUCCCUUUCCAUCUUUCACCGGUGGAAAUCUGGUCAUCGGAAAACCGCAGCCGCUGGUUAAACUAAAAAUCUCCUGCUCUUAUCAUUCCAACAAGUGCAAGAAGGAGUAGACGAGCGUGAUGAUAGUGCCGACAGGUGUAGGUACCACCAUCGGUGGAUUCGCCGGCGACCCUUAGCCAGUUGCUCGUGCACUCGCCUCCGUCGUUGAUGGCCUCAUUUCGCACCCUAACGUUUUGCUCUUGAUCGAUUUGCCGAAGGCUUAUGGGCAUUGCAGCCAGUUCACCAAAAUAGAGUGGGGUUGGUUCUUGAUGCUGCAAUAGAGGGGGAGCUUCAACUUCGCCAUUUGCAAGUGGCUGAUGCGACAAGAGCUUCCCUUGGAUUGCCUGUUUUGGAAUAUAUCGUCACUGACACUCCUUUACUGGUAUGCGUCCUUAUCAGCUAGCAGAUUAAAGACUAAUGGAGCCAAAUAUCAACAUACUGCUAAUUGCCCACAUCUUAAGUGGAGCUAAAGUAAAAGAUGCAUGUUCCAGACAGAUUACAUAACAUGUUUCAUGUGCUGCAGACCUUUCCCUUUGCAAGACAUGUUUUAUGCGCUGCAGGCCUUUCUCUUUGAUGACUAACUGCACUUCUUGUGAGAUGCUUAUUGAUGACAUGGGCAUGAUGCAUUAGACCAAGGGUCAUACACUUGGUGAUUGAUGAGUCAACAUUAUUUGUAUUGUCUAAUUAUGAUCUCUCUUCAUGAGAACUGAUGGACUUUUACAAAGUUUGUAGCAAUGAAAACAUUGCCCCUGCAAUUCAAGUUCCACUACCAAGGUAAUCGUGAGCUGUUCAUAUCUAUAACGUGUUUUAUAGGUGGAGAAAUGGGUUGAUCCAAAGAGCGGGCAAUCAACAGGGAGAAUUAAGCAUCCUGAUUCACUACCGAGAGCUGUGCAGACUUUAGUUAACCGAACAAAGGUAAAUGCUGUUGCAGUGGUGGGAUGCUUUCUGAUGACGAUGUUGAAGACAUGGAUGAUUAUCGACAAGGGAUGGGUAUAGAUGAUUUAGCAAGAGUGGAGGCAGUUAUAAGCCAUCUGGUGGUGAAGGAAUUCCAGAUCCCUUGUGCACAUGCACCUGCAUUAUCUCCCUUUCCUUUGAGCCUAUCACUGUGUCCAAAAUCAGCUGCCGAGGAGAUAGGAUACACAUUCUUGCCAUGUGUGCUUGCUGGCCUAAGUAAUACACCACAAUAUGUAGUCAAGAACUCUUGAGUCUUUGGAGAAGGGUUGCAUAUUAGCAAGUGGUGUUGAUAGCAUCAUUCUUCCUAUGGAUGCUUGUGAAGGAGAUGGUGCUCUUGCUUUUGCCAGAAGCAAAAAGGACAAGGUAGAAGUUCAAGCAUAUGAUUAUACUUGAAUCUUUAUUUACAAGUUAUCUGGAAAGAAUACAUCAGUUCACCACCAGAACUUCUUUCUGACCUAGUCAAGCAAUUCAAACAAUUUGUCUUCAGUUGCUAGUUUCUUGUAAUUGCUAACUCAGAUGCAGCCACUUAUUAUUACUGUCGAGGAAAAUGAAACAGUUCUCAAUGAUACACCGGAAAAGUACAGCAUUGAAGUGGUCAAGGUCGCAAACUAUUGAGAAGCUAUAGGUGUUAUUGCAGCUCAUAAGGCAGGGAUAGACCCAAAUUCCCUCUGAAGAAACAGAAUUAAUAACAUCCGAUGCUCUCCAUCCAUAUCUUCCAAUGGUUAUUCGGUUUCAAGUGUUAGAUCUGUCACAUGAUUCGGGUAUAUCAACAUUUAGUUUGGUCUGAGUUAUUUUAAAUGCCAAGAAGUUCAUGAUUUUCCGGUGUUUGAGAGUACUUCAGGUAUGGCCCUCUGGGCAUUUCUACCUUUUGGAUUAGCAAUGGAGGAAAUGGAAAAAAGAUAUAGGUCCUUAUAUUGAUGGGUUGGUUAAAUGGCAAUUCCUAAUCCUUAAAAUCCGGCCAUAUGUUCUGUACAAGUCAGGAUGAUGGGCGUAUUGGAGAAGCAACCGGACAAAUAAUCAACUUUCAAAGACAAAUACCAACUGGUUUGUUCGUGAUGUCGCUAUUUCAUAAAGAAGCACCAAUGGGCUUUUACGCUCUUAUGGGUGGAGUCUAUCAAAUCGUUGUCAUAAUGUAUUCGAAAUUUUGCUUCAGCCUAUCGCAUAAGGGCUUGGAACUUUGAUGGAACGUGAACCAACCAGUCAAAUGGAGUGAAAUUUUGAUCGUUGCGGUUCACUUGAUUUUAUACAGUGCAAGUAUCAACUUGUUUCUAUCAAGACCAUAAAAAUGGUAGAUGUUGCAUUCAUGGUUUGCUUGGCGAGGCCCCGGUGAAAGCUUGGGUGACAAUUGCAUGAUGAUACUACAUUUUUCCUUGUAAGAUGUUCAUGCGGUUUAUUUGGACCGACUUUUAAGGAGUUAGUGGCUCUUUUUUAAACUCAA